rnacentral:rRNA from 1 species
AACGAACGCUGGCGGCGUGGAUUAGGCAUGCAAGUCGAACGAAUUUCCUCUGGGUUACUGGCUGACAAAAGUGGCGAAAGGGGCAGUAAGACAUGGAUAAUCUACCCUUAUGACCGGGAUAGCUGUCCCAAAGGGCGGGUAAUACCGGAUAAGCUGGUGGGCCCCCAUGGGUCUGCUAGGAAAGGCGCAAGCCGUGUUUGGGGGUCGCCUGGUGAUAUUAGCUAGUUGGUGUGGUAAAGGCUCACCAAGUCGAAGAGGACUAGCGGUUGUGUGAGCACGAGCCGCGCCAUUUGAACUGUGAGACUGGCCAGAGUCCUACGGGAGGCUGAAGUGGAGGAACUUCGGCAAUGGGGGAAAGCCUGACCGAGCGACGCCGCGUGAGCGGUGAAGGCGAUUAGGUUGUAAAGCUCUGUCGAGGGGGAACAAGCCGCAAGGUUACGUGAUCCCUGGAGGAAGCACGGGCUAAGUUCGUG